AACGCACCUUGCGCUCCCUAGUAUUCUGGGGAGCAUGUCUGUUUGAGUGUCAUGAACUCUUCAACCCACUGGUUUCUUGUAGACUAGCUGGUGUUUGGAUUUUGAACGUUGCUGGUCUUCGGACGUAGCUCGUUCGUAAUGCAUUAGCAUCUCUAAUUCGAAUUCGGAUUGACUCAGUGUAAUAGACUAUUCGCUGAGGACACUUUUAUUAGUGGCCGAACAAGAUCAUUGUAGAAGCUUCAAACCUCUGUAGUCAAUCUUAGAUUAGACCUCAGAUCAGGCAGGAUUACCCGCUGAACUUAA
rnacentral:misc_RNA from 1 species